UGCUGGUUACAUCACAGGCUCACUUUGCUGUGUUAUUCUUCCGUGGUCAAGCUUGAAUGAGCAUGCAAAGGCAGUGAAUGUAAUUUUUUUUUGCUUGUUACAAGAGUGACCUGUUCUACUUCCAAUUGCUCAAAACGAGAGGGGAGAAAACAAACCCACAACACAUUUGAGGAUGACUUGCAGAAGGUGUUAUUUGUCUAUAAAUACUCUGCACCAGUUUUGCUGUCCAGCUCCAUUGUACCAUAGCCAGCUAACUGUCCCUGCCACACACUCAGAGUACAGGGAAGAUAAUGUUCUCCACCAGUUCUGUUGUUCACCUUCUGGGUCUAGUAGUCCAUCCUCAAGAUAACAGAGAAGCUCUGGGUCGCUAAGUGGGCAGUCAGAGGGCCACAUCUGUAUAUUCCAUCUCCCUCCUCUUCUUUCUCUUGCUGGUGUGUAUGGGACUUACAUAACUUGCAUGGAGACACUAAAGAUUCUGGUUUACAUCGAAUUUAAAUGUACUCAGAAUGCCUGGUAACUUCCACUCUGCACUUUCUUCUCCAAGCUUUCACGGCUCACUCUUUCUGUGCCAAGUGAUUAAAAUGCAUAUGGAGUGUAAACAAAA